GCGUGGAUGAAGAAGGCCUUAGGGUUGUAAAGUCCUUUCACCGGGGAAGAUGAUGACGGUACCCGGAGAAGAAGCCCCGGCUAACUCCGUGCCAGCAGCCGCGGUAAUACGGAGGGGGCUAGCGUUGUUCGGAAUUACUGGGCGUAAAGCGCGCGUAGGCGGUGCAUUCAGUCAGAGGUGAAAGGCCUGGGCUCAACCUGGGAACUGCCUUUGAGACGGAUGCGCUUGAGUUCGGGAGAGGGUAGUGGAAUUCCCAGUGUAGAGGUGAAAUUCGU
rnacentral:rRNA from 1 species